ensembl:lncRNA
GUGGCAAAAACAGUACACCACAACACUUUUAAACGUAUUACUGAGUCUAGAUGUUCUGCAGUCAGGAGAAGAACAGCUACCGAGUCUAGAUGUUCUGCAGUCAGGAGAAGAACAGCUACUGAGUCUAGAACAGCUACUGAGUCUAGAUGUUCUGCAGUUAGGAGAAGAACAGCUACUGAGUCUAGAACAGCUACCGAGUCUAGAUGUUCUCACGUCAGGAGAAGAACAGCUACUGAGUCUAGAACAGCUACUGAGUCUAGAUGUUCUGCAGUUAGGAGAAGAACAGCUACUGAGUCUAGAUGUUCUGCAGUCAGGAGAAGAACAGCUACUGAGUCUAGAACAGCUACUGAGUCUAGAUGUUCUGCAGUUAGGAGAAGAACAGCUACUGAGUCUAGAUGUUCUGCAGUCAGGAGAAGAACAGCUACUGAGUCUAGAUGUUCUGCAGUCAGGAGAAGAACAGCUACUGAGUCUAGAUGUUCUGCAGUCAGGAGAAGAACAGCUACUGAGUCUAGAUGUUCUGCAGUCAGGAGAAGAACAGCUACUGAGUCUAGAUGUUCUGCAGUCAGGAGAAGAACAGCUACUGAGUCUAGAACAGCUACUGAGUCUAGAUGUUCUGUAGUUAGGAGAAGAACAGCUACUGAGUCUAGAUGUUCUGCAGUCAGGAGAAGAACAGCUACUGAGUCUAGAUGUUCUGCAGUCAGGAGAAGAACAGCUACUGAGUCUAGAUGUUCUGCAGUCAGGAGAAGAACAGCUACUGAGUCAAGAUGUUCUGCAGUCAGGAGAAGAACAGCUACUGAGUCAAGAUGUUCUGCAGUCAGGAGAAGAACAGCUACUGAGUCUAGAUGUUCUGCAGUUAGGAGAAGAACAGCUACUGAGUCAAGAUGUUCUGCAGUCAGGAGAAGAACAGCUACCGAGUCUAGAUGUUCUGCAGUCAGGAGAAGAACAGCUACCGAGUCUAGAUGUUCUGCAGUCAGGAGAAGAACAGCUACCGAGUCUAGAUGUUCUGCAGUCAGGAGAAGAACAGCUACCGAGUCUAGAUGUUCUGCAGUCAGGAGAAGAACAGCUACCGAGUCUAGAUGUUCUGCAGUCAGGAGAAGAACAGCUACUGAGUCUAGAUGUUCUGCAGUCAGGAGAAGAAUAGCUACCGAGUCUAGAUGUUCUCACGUCAGGAGAAGAACAGCUACUGAGUCUAGAACAGCUACUGAGUCUAGAUGUUCUGCAGUUAGGAGAAGAACAGCUACUGAGUCUAGAUGUUCUGCAGUUAGGAGAAGAACAGCUACCGAGUCUAGAUGUUCUGCACUCAGGAGAAGAACAGCUACCGAGUCUAGAUGUUCUGCAGUCAGGAGAAGAACAGCUACCGAGUCUAGAUGUUCUGCAGUCAGGAGAAGAACAGCUACCGAGGCUAGUUGUUCUGCAGUCAGGAGAAGAACAGCUACUGAGUCUAGAUGUUCUGCAGUCAGGAGAAGAACAGCUACCGAGUCUAGUUCUUCUCCUGACUGCAGAACAACUAGACUCGGUAGCUGUUCUUCUCCUGACUGCAGAACAACAGCUACCGAGUCUAGAUGUUCUGCAGUCAGGAGAAGAACAGCUACCGAGUCUAGAUGUUCAGCAGUCAGGAGAAGAACAGCUACCGAGUCUAGUUGUUCUGCAGUCAGGAGAAGAACAGCUACCGAGUCUAGAUGUUCUGCAGUCAGGAGAAGAACAGCUACUGAGUCUAGAUGUUCUGCAGUCAGGAGAAGAACAGCUACCGAGUCUAGAUGUUCUGCAGUCAGGAGAAGAACAGCUACCGAGUCUAGAUGUUCUGCAGUCAGGAGAAGAACAGCUACUGAGUCUAGAUGUUCUGCAGUCAGGAGAAGAAUAGCUACCGAGUCUAGAUGUUCUGCAGUCAGGAGAAGAACAGCUACUGAGUCUAGAACAGCUACUGAGUCUAGAUGUUCUGCAGUCAGGAGAAGAACAGCUACCGAGUCUAGAUGUUCUGCAGUCAGGAGAAGAACAGCUACUGAGUCUAGAUGUUCUGCAGUCAGGAGAAGAACAGCUACCGAGUCUAGAUGUUCUCACGUCAGGAGAAGAACAGCUACUGAGUCUAGAACAGCUACUGAGUCUAGAUGUUCUGCAGUUAGGAGAAGAACAGCUACUGAGUCUAGAUGUUCUGCAGUCAGGAGAAGAACAGCUGCUGAGUCUAGAUGUUCUGCAGUCAGGAGAAGAACAGCUACUGAGUCAAGAUGUUCUGCAGUCAGGAGAAGAACAGCUACUGAGUCUAGAUGUUCUGCAGUCAGGAGAAGAACAGCUACCGAGUCUAGAUGUUCUCACGUCAGAAGAACAAGUGAAGGAAUCAGCAUAGGGGAAACAGCUGAAGGUUGGGUGUGUUGA